AGUUUAGGUCCCUGGUAUACCUUUAGCAUAUUUGGGGUUUGCUAAAAAAACAAAUCUUGUAGGAUCUGCUACUAAUGCCUUGGUGUCAGAUACCACAGGACACAUUCAGAGGUCUCGUGGAGUCCAUGCCUCGACGCAUUAGAGCUGUUUUGGCAGCAGAAGGGGGACCUACACGAUAUUAGACAGGUUUUUUUACGUUGUGGUUAACCAGUGUUUAUGUAUGUGUGUAUAUAUAUAAAUUAGUUAUUGCGAGUAACAGAAAAAGGAUUUAUAAAAAACUUAAAGCAGUAUUAAGCAGCACUCCGGACCCUUAAAGGGGAAC